GUCUUAUUUAAGGGGAACGUAUGGA
rnacentral:piRNA from 1 species